CCUACGGGAGGCAGCAGUGGGGAAUUUUGGACAAUGGGCGCAAGCCUGAUCCAGCAAUGCCGCGUGAGUGAAGAAGGCCUUCGGGUUGUAAAGCUCUUUUGUCAGGGAAGAAACGGUCUACUCUAAUACAGUGGGCUAAUGACGGUACCUGAAGAAUAAGCACCGGCUAACUACGUGCCAGCAGCCGCGGUAAUACGUAGGGUGCAAGCGUUAAUCGGAAUUACUGGGCGUAAAGCGUGCGCAGGCGGUUAUAUAAGUCAGAUGUGAAAUCCCCGGGCUCAACCUGGGAACUGCAUUUGAGACUGUAUGGCUAGAGUGUGUCAGAGGGGGGUAGAAUUCCACGUGUAGCAGUGAAAUGCGUAGAUAUGUGGAGGAAUACCGAUGGCGAAGGCAGCCCCCUGGGAUAACACUGACGCUCAUGCACGAAAGCGUGGGGAGCAAACAGGAUUAGAUACCCUGGUAGUCCACGCCCUAAACGAUGUCUACUAGUUGUCGGGACUUAAUUGUCUUGGUAACGCAGCUAACGCGUGAAGUAGACCGCCUGGGGAGUACGGUCGCAAGNUUAAAACNCAAAUGAAUUGACGG
rnacentral:rRNA from 1 species